rnacentral:rRNA from 1 species
GCGGUAUCAUGACCGUGCGAAGGUAGCAUAAUCAUUAGUCUUUUAAUUGAGGGCUGGUAUGAAUGGUUGGACGAGAAAUUAACUGUCUUUGUUUUGAAGAUUGAAUUUAACUUUUAAGUGAAAGGGCUUAAAUGAACUAGAGGGACGAUAAGACCCUAUGAAGUUUGUACAUUGGAUUAAUUGGGAAUGAUUUAUGUUUAGUAAGGUUUGCUAUUGAGAAGAUGUUUAGUUGGGGCGACUAGGAUAUAAUAUAUAACUGUUUCUUGGUAGGAGUCAAAAAUAUUUGAGUUAAUGAUCCUUUUUUAGGAUUUUAGAGUAAAUUACUCUAGGGAUAACAGCGUAAUUUUUUUUGAGAGUUCUUAUCGACAAAAGAGUUUGCGACCUCGAUGUUGAAUUAAAAUUUCUUUGUAAUGUAGCAGUUACAAUAGAAGG